GCCGGGGUGCCCGAGCCUGGUUAAGGGGCCGGACUCGAGAUCCGGUGGGCCGUUCCGGCCUGCGCGGGUUCAAAUCCCGCCCCCGGCG
rnacentral:tRNA from 1 species